rnacentral:tRNA from 6 species
GCGCCUGUAGCUCAGUGGAUUAGAGCAUCGGCCUCCGGAGCCGAGGGUCGGAGGUUCGAAUCCUCUCAGGCGCGCCA